rnacentral:tRNA from 1 species
GCCUUCGUGGUGUAGUGGUCAGCACGCAGGGUACGUACUCCAGAGAUCUGUGGUUCGAGUCCCGGCGAAGGCA